rnacentral:rRNA from 1 species
GUAGGGAAUCUUGCGCAAUGGGCGAAAGCCUGACGCAGCCACGCCGCGUGAAGGAUGACACCCCUAUGGGGCGUAAACUUCUUUUAUGAGAGAAGAAAACCCGGCUCGGUCGGGCCUGACGGUAUCUCAUGAAUAAGCACCGGCUAACUCCGUGCCAGCAGCCGCGGUAAUACGGAGGGUGCAAGCGUUAUCCGGAAUCACUGGGUUUAAAGGGUGCGUAGGCGGCUUAAUCAGUCAGAGGUGAAAUCUUUCCGCUUAACGGGAAGCCUGCCUUUGAUACUGUUGAGCUUGAAUUAGGUUGAGGUUGGCGGAAUGUGGCAUGUAGCGGUGAAAUGCAUAGAUAUGCCAUAGAACACCGAUUGCGAAGGCAGCUAACUAGGCCUGAAUUGACGCUGAGGCACGAAAGCGUGGGGAGCGAACAGGAUUAGAAACCCUAGUAGUCC